AUGCGCGAGAGUUGCAGAGGGAGAAGAGAGACUGGAGUUUUGGUUAAGAUAGAGGUUGGGAGAAUAAGAAGAGAGAGUUUUGGAGAGUGGUCUUUCUGCAGAAUCUAUAAUCUCCUGAAUCUGGUGAGUUUUCCUCUCUUUUAUAAUUUUGUUAGGUUGGGUUUUGGUUGUAAAACUCCAAUUAUUGACUCAGUUGGUAGUUUAAUUGAAGUUGAUUUCCUGAACUGGAAAUCGUUUCCUGACUUUAUGAACUCCUUCCUGCUUUUUCUUCUUUGGGCUACAGUUUGGAUAGCAGGUCACCGGUUUCUACACUGA